GGCCUGGUGGUGUAGUGGUAACACGGCUUGCAGAGUUACGUCCUGGGUUUUUAACUGUCAAGAGGUCCCUCGUUCGAACCGGGGUCAAGCCA